AUGAGUAAGCCCCAGUGAAGUAUCUGCUGUUUCCCAAAACAAAAUGUACAUCAGGCUUCGAGGACAGAUUGUACCGGCAGCUGUUACAAGAUGCUGCCUGACAAGUCACACAGAACCGUAUUCCCGAAUACUCGCUUCUAGAGGGAAGCACGUUCAGAACAGGGGGUGUAAGGCAGCCAGAAGCACAACAACAGGAGGGAAAGGUUCUGCAACAUUGAAUUGUGGCUGGAAGAAAUCAUCAUGAUGUUCUGGGACUGAUGGAUGUGAAAAAGAGAAAGUGAACAAUUUCAAACAAGAAGACAUCACCUGUCAAAUGGAAGUCACAGAGAUGGGUCACCUGCUUAAAACCCCCAUGAGCCACAGAGGAGAGUGCCAACCACAAAAAAAAACUACCUACAAAUCUCUGGUUGUUCCAGAUCUCCCCCGAUGGAAUCAGCUCUUUGUCAGAGGUCACUGGACAUAGACUAAUAGUGAUCAGCUGAUCACUGUAGUGGUUCUCAUUUUAAAGGGGUUGUCUGAUCUCAUCUCUGCUGCUGCUGUCUGCUCAUGCUUCCGAGAUUGCUGGGAUCAGGGACCGGAUAUCUGCUUCUGUGUCUAACAGCUCCCAAGCUAAAGCACUAUGCCUGCAACUUUCUAGAUAUAAUGAAUGUGCUGAGAUAAGCCCGAGCAAGGAGUGCAGGGAGCCUGAUGUGCAAUCAACUCAGGAGCUCCUGGCCACUCUGGGACCUAGAUCACCACUGCUUCUGAAGCAGAGCUGGUGGACGGGAACUAUGAUUACCAGCUGUCUAAAAGAGGGGAGAUAAGAAGAGGUAUCUACAGAACCAGGCAAGUUUGCUACCUGAAGCCAACUACAAACCUGUUUAAACUGGCAUGCUCUACCGUGUUUCCCCGAAAAUAAACACUACCCCGAAAGUAAGCCCUAGCA